rnacentral:tRNA from 1 species
GGCCGACUAGCUCAGUUGGUUAGAGCGUGGUACUAAUACGAUUCUUCGUGUUAUGCCAAGGUCGUCAGUUCGAUCCUGGCGUUGGCCA